rnacentral:lncRNA from 13 species
GAAAGAAUAAGGACAAAAUGAGUAGAGCUCAAAAUAGAUGACUCAAAAAUUGAUAUUACAAAUAUAUAAAAGACUAGAUAGAAAUAAAAAUAAGUAAACUUACUGAAUAUUUACUGUGUCCAAUGCUUUCUUCUAACUUGUUUCAUGGCCAUUCUAAGUGGGUAAAUCGCCAGAGACUCAUAAUUACUAGUAUCAGAAGAAGAUUUUUAAGUAAGUUCCAUCUGAUUUCAAAGGUCAUAUUCUUAGUACUGGACCUUUUAUUUUUUUCUUUUCUGGGAGUUUUUUUUUUUUUCUCUCCGUGACCUUCAUGUUUUUGUAUGAAGCUGAUGGCACUAUGGGAAAAACAACUAUGCUGUUUUCUACAAGAUAAACUGCCUUUAAAUAUCUUAUUUCCUUUUGAUUUUGGAGUCCAAUCCAUAGGGAAAGUGAAGAAGAAAAAGGAGGAGAAGAAUCUUCCAGAUGCCUUUCAGCUCCUGUGGAGGAGAAUCUUCCAGAUGCAUUUCAGCCACUGCAUUCCAGGACACAGUUAGGACAUCUUCAGCCUUUUCACCGUGGACAUUUACAAGAUGGUACUGUAGCAGACGCCGAGGCUGUGGCCACAAUUGUGCUAAUGUGCAUCAUGUCUUCACCACUUUACACUCCUGGGAGAAACAAAACUUCAGAUCCCCAUGAGAAUGCAUGUCCCGAGGAAGUCUCACAAGUUGGUAACGUAAUUAAAUCUUGACCUGUAUUGACAUGUUUCCUUUUCUGAAAGAAUGUCACCCAUCUACAGCAUGUGAUGGUUUUCUUGAGCGAAAGCACCCAGGCAUUGUGGAAAUUUUGAGCUGAACUAGCUGCUUUCUCUUUAGGGAAUACCAAAAGGUGUUCAUGAACACUUUUGAAAGAAGGUGAAGAACACCGUCUACUUGAAAGAACAACCGACAGAAAUGAAGUAUCCCCACAUUUGGGCUAUUGGCAGACAUCCUCAAAAAUGAAUGAAGCGAGCAGAUCACUUCGGGAAAACAACUGACAGUAGCUGUUGCCAGUAGCAAAACUCAAGCUUUCAAGAUGAAGCAGAAAUUUGGAAAACUUCUCUCUCUAAGAAAAGUUUCACAGUAUCUGAAUACUUAAAUGUGAU